UACAGAGGGUGCGAGCGUUAAUCGGAAUUACUGGGCGUAAAGCGUGCGUAGUCGGUUAUUUAAGUCGGGUGUGAAAGCCCCGGGCUCAACCUGGGAAUUGCAUUCGAGACUGAAUAGCUAGGGUACGGUAGAGGGAAGUGGAAUUUCCGGUGUAGCGGUGAAAUGCGUAGAUAUCGGAAGGAACAUCAGUGGCGAAAGCGACUUCCUGGACCAGUACCGACGUUCAGGCACGAAAGCGUGGGGAGCAAACAGG
rnacentral:rRNA from 1 species